rnacentral:rRNA from 1 species
AAUAGAUACCCAGGUAGUCCUAGCCGUAAACGAUGAGCACUAGGUCGAGGGGACUUCCACAUCUUCUCGGCCGUAGCGAAAGCAUUAAGUGCUCCGCCUGGGGAGUAUGGCCGCAAGGCUGAAACUCAAAGGAAUUGACGGGGGCUCACACAAGCGGUAGAGGAUGUGGCUUAAUUCGAGGCUACGCGAAGAACCUUAUCCUAGACUUGACAUGCUUAAGAAUCUUCUGGAAACAGAGGAGUGCCCUUCGGGGAGCUUUUGCACAGGUGCUGCAUGGCUGUCGUCAGCUCGUGUCGUGAGAUGUUGGGUUAAGUCCCUUAACGAGCGAAACCCCUAUCUUUAGUUGCCAGCGGGUAAUGCCGGGGACUCUAAAGAGACUGCCGGUGUCAAACCGGAGGAAGGUGGGGAUGACGUCAAGUCCUCAUGGCCCUUAUGUUUAGGGCUGCACACGUCCUACAAUGGUACGUACAAAGGGAAGCCAAGCCGCGAGGCCGAGCUAAUCCCAAAAAGCGUGCCUCAGUUCGGAUUGUAGG